GCCUUCCCCAUGGGGCUUCGAGGCCUCUGCGGCCUGGGCCUGGAUGCUGCCAGGGAUCCGUGCGAACAGGGCCCUGCUACAGACAAACGAGGCCCCGUCUUGCACGCCCCCACCCUCACGCCAGGCAAGCUGGGCCCGCAGAUCCAGCUGUUUGGGUGCCAAGGGCCCAGCUGAACUUAGAGACCAUGCAUCUGCCUGCCCUCACACCUGGGCGAAUUAUUCCAGGAGGGCUGGGUGUCAAAACAGAAGAGGAAGAGCCAGAUGGAGUCCAGGCUGGGGCUUUUCCAGGCAGACGUGUCAGAAGGACAGGAUGCAGAGGAUAUCGGCAAGAGAUGGACUGAGGUAG
rnacentral:lncRNA from 1 species